AGGGAUUGCCCUAGUAACGGCGAGUGAAGCGGCAACAGCUCAAAUUUGAAAUCUGGCUUCGGCCCGAGUUGUAAUUUGCAGAGGAUGCUUCUGGCGCGGUGCCUUCCGAGUUCCCUGGAACGGGACGCCACAGAGGGUGAGAGCCCCGUAUGGUCGGACACCAAGCCUGUGUGAAGCUCCUUCGACGAGUCGAGUAGUUUGGGAAUGCUGCUCUAAAUGGGAGGUAAAUCUCUUCUAAAGCUAAAUACCGGCCAGAGGCCGAUAGCGCACAAGUAGAGUGAUCGAAAGAUGAAAAGCACCUUGAAAAGGGGGUUAAAUAGUACGUGAAAUUGUUGAAAGGGAAGCACUUGUGACCAGACUUGGGCCGGGCGGCUCAUCAGGGGUUCUCCCCUGUGCACUCCGCCCGGCACAGGCCAGCAUCGGUUCUCGUGGGGGGAUAAGACCGUUAGGAACGUAGCACCCUCCGGGGUGUGUUAUAGCCUGGCGGACGAUACCCCCGUGGGGACCGAGGUUCGCGCUCCGCAAGGAUGCUGGC
rnacentral:rRNA from 1 species